ensembl:snoRNA
AUCCUUCUGUAGUUCAUAAGCAUGAUGACCAGGAGUUCACAUACAAGUGUGACAGGUGCCUUCCUCCAUCCUUGUGGCCAUGUGGGCACCUUGCCUAUCUGACA